UUNGAUUAUUUGUAGAGGGGGGGNUGAAUUNCAGGUGUAGCCGUGGAAAUGCGGUAGAGAUCUGGAGGAAAUUCCGGUGGCGAAGGGCGGGCCCCCCUGGACAAAAGACUGACGCUCAGGCANGAAAGCGUGGGGGAGCAAACAGGAUUAGAUACCCCUGGUAGUCCCACGCCGUAAACGAUGUCUACCUCGGAGUUUGGUGUCUUGAACACUGGGCUCUCAAGCUAACGCAUUAAGUAGACCGCCCUGGGGAGUACGGCCGCAAGGUUAAAACUCAAAUGAAUUGACGGGGGCCCGCACAAGCGGUGGAGCAUGUGGUUUAAUUCGAUGCAACGCGAAGAACCUUACCUACUCUUGACAUCCAGAGAACUUUCCAGAGAUGGAUUGGUGCCUUCGGGAACUCUGAGACAGGUGCUGCAUGGCUGUCGUCAGCUCGUGUUGUGAAAUGUUGGGUUAAGUCCCGCAACGAGCGCAACCCUUAUCCUUACUUGCCAGCGGGUAAUGCCGGGAACUUUAGGGAGACUGCCGGUGAUAAACCGGAGGAAGGUGGGGACGACGUCAAGUCAUCAUGGCCCUUACGAGUAGGGCUACACACGUGCUACAAUGGUCGGUACAGAGGGUUGCGAAGCCGCGAGGUGGAGCUAAUCUCAUAAAGCCGGUCGUAGUCCGGAUUGGAGUCUGCAACUCGACUCCAUGAAGUCGGAAUCGCUAGUAAUCGUGGAUCAGAAUGCCACGGUGAAUACGUUCCCGGGCCUUGUACACACCGCCCGUCACACCAUGGGAGUGGGCUGCACCAGAAGUAGAUAGCUUAACCUUCGGGAGGGCGUUUACCACGGUGUGGUUCAUGACUGGGGUGAAGUCGUAACAAGGUAACCG
rnacentral:rRNA from 1 species